rnacentral:rRNA from 1 species
UACGUAGGGUGCAAGCGUUAAUCGGAAUUACUGGGCGUAAAGUGUGCGCAGGCGGCCGCGCAAGUCGAGUGUGAAAGCCCCGGGCUUAACUUGGGAAUUGCGCUCGAAACUACGUGGCUGGAGUGUGGCAGAGGAAGGUGGAAUUCCAGGUGUAGCGGUGAAAUGCGUAGAGAUCUGGAGGAACACCGAUGGCGAAGGCAGCCUUCUGGGCCAACACUGACGCUCAGGCACGAAAGCGUGGGGAGCAAACAGG